rnacentral:rRNA from 1 species
UACGAAGGGGGCUAGCGUUGUUCGGAAUUACUGGGCGUAAAGCGCACGUAGGCGGACUCUUAAGUCGGGGGUGAAAGCCCAGGGCUCAACCCUGGAAUUGCCUUCGAUACUGAGAGUCUUGAGUUCGGAAGAGGUUGGUGGAACUGCGAGUGUAGAGGUGAAAUUCGUAGAUAUUCGCAAGAACACCAGUGGCGAAGGCGGCCAACUGGUCCGAUACUGACGCUGAGGCGCGAAAGCGUGGGGAGCAAACAGGG